CCUAACCGUGCGAAGGUAGCGUAAUCACUUGUUCUUUAAAUGAGGACUAGUAUGAAUGGCCCCACGAGGGCUGCACUGUCUCCUUUUUCUAAUCAAUGAAACUAAUCUCCCCGUGAAGAAGCGGGGAUAAUUCUAUAAGACGAGAAGACCCUAUGGAGCUUUAAACAACUGAAACACUUGCUUUUCCAUUAACCUCUUCCGAGUUCUUUACUUCACUCAAGCAUUUUUAUUUCUAGUUUUAGGUUGGGGUGACCACGGAGCAAAACUAAACCUCCACGAAGAAAUGAAUACUUUUUAAGCCACAAACUACUUUUUUAAGCAUCAACAAAUUGACCUUCAUUGACCCAAUAUAUUGAUCAACGAACCAAGUUACCCUAGGGAUAACAGCGCAAUCUACUUCAAGAGCUCGUAUCGACAAGUAGGUUUACGACCUCGAUGUUGGAUCAGGGUAUCCUAGUGGUG
rnacentral:rRNA from 2 species